AGAAAAAGUUUAACAAAUCUAUACCGCGAUUUGAACCUAAACUAAUUCGUCGUCAGCACAAGGCUUUAGACGAUUCACCCAUUUCUGGAUUAUUCUUUUCACAUUCAAAUAGUCCUUAUGCUUAUUGUGUACGUCUCAAACGUAAACAGAGCGCGUGGGUCAUUUGCAUGUAUAGCAGCCUAUAUGAGUGGACUUAUGAAAGAAGGUGUGUUGGUGGUCUAUGCUAAACGUAGAUACAGGAAUUCGCGAGUCAGCUCUAUACCUGCGUGCGGUACAGCUGCGCUAUUGUAACUUGAAACAAUGUGCAUCCUCGGAAGGACGGACACUCGCCCCCGCCAUUUAGCCAUCCAUCAGCACCUUUUCCGAAUUUCCAACACAUGCAGCUGCAGCAUGAAGCAUAAAUGGGUGACGUCCAGCUAGUAAAUCAGUGCUCGGUAGUCCGAGGCAGGCUGUACUUGCAUCUUACUGCACUGCACAGCCUGCCUGUCGGACUACCUUUCGACGUUGUACUUUUCGACGUCGCUGCAUCAUUUUUAUAGCACCCUGCUGCUAAUCAAUUUGAUCGUUGGCUUCCGCGAGAAUACGCUGAUCUCUGCGGCAACUAAACAUCUGGAAAACCUCUGCGCUACUGCGUUCUCAUCGCUGUGUGUAAAGAUACCACGGAGCCGAAAAAAUCAAAAAGUUUGGCCAGGACCUCUUAUUUUCAAUGUUCUUGCACAGGCUGCUUUCACCCUUAAUCGUACCCGGCCUCUUGCAACAUUGUCAACGCCCAGGGGGGGUGGGAAUCGGAGAUCGGGCUCCUCCAUACCUUAAUCCCUCCUCUUCCACACCGUUACCCGCGGACGCGCAUUGUUAUCACAGGCUUAUUAGCUAUUGUUGUGCGAAUUAUUUACAGCUUACGAUUAAUCUUUGGCAUACACUCGAAGAAACUAAUUGCGAGGCAGGAUUCGAGAGUUUGGAUCUUAUUAGCUCCAUGCAGGAAUUGAACCUGCGAACUCUUCCGCUUGCGCAUCCAAGAGGUAGAACGACCGAUAAACAAAAGUCUAAAUUAGCCUCUUACUCGAACUCGCGGCUGAUUAACACGUAAGCAAAGUGUGUCGCGGCGAAGGAUCCGCGCGAGUCGGUCAGCGCGUUGUCGGCUCGCCAACUAAACCCCUAUAUAGGUAUAUAACGAGAGCCCGCGCGCGCUUCAACAUCCCCCACUCUGCUGCUUGUCCGACUCCCAAAACUUGUGUUUGUCAAGGUGAUUAGCCAUCCUUUUAAUAAAUAAAUAUUUGCACGUAAA